rnacentral:rRNA from 1 species
AUUGAACGCUGGCGGCAGGCCUAACACAUGCAAGUCGAGCGAGUGGCGGACGGGUGAGUAAUGUCUGGGGAUCUGCCCGAUGGAGGGGGAUAACUACUGGAAACGGUGGCUAAUACCGCAUACCAUCGGAUGAGCCCAUAUGGGAUUAGCUAGUAGGUGGGGUAACGGCUCACCUAGGCGACGAUCCCUAGCUGGUCUGAGAGGAUGAUCAGCCACACUGGAACUGAGACACGGCCCAGACUCCUACGGGAGGCAGCAGUGGGGAAUAUUGCACAAUGGGCGAAAGCCUGAUGCAGCCAUGCCGCGUGUAUGAAGAAGGCCUUCGGGUUGUAAAGUACUUUCAGCGGGGAGGCGUUACCCACAGAAGAAGCACCGGCUAACUCCGUGCCAGCAGCCGCGGUAAUUC